rnacentral:misc_RNA from 1 species
GAUGAAGAACGUAGCGAAAUGCGAUAAGUAGUGUGAAUUGCAGAAUUCAGUGAAUCAUCGAAUCUUUGAACGCACAUUGCGCCCCUUGGUAUUCCAUGGGGCAUGCCUGUUCGAGCGUCAUUUGUACCUUCAAGCCUUGCUUGGUGUUGGGUGUUUGUCUCGCCUCUGCGCGCAGACUCGCCUCAAAACAAUUGGCAGCCGGCGUAUUGAUUUCGGAGCGCAGUACAUCUCGCGCUCUGCACUCAGAACGACGACGUCCAAAAGUACAUUUUUACACUCUUGACCUCGGAUCAGGUAGGGAUACCCGCUGAACUUAAGCAUAUCAAUAAGCGGAGGA